UGAAGACUCAAGGGCAUCCAACAUCAACACUUCCUGAAGGUGAUCUCUGAUGAACUGAUCUUUGUUCCUCCAGCUUGGCUCAACCUGUACUGAUUUGAAAUUAGCCUGGAGGAACUGAGAAAAACCAACAAAAACCUCAGUCAAGAUAACCUAUGUUUGGGCUGAGAUUUGAACACAAGACUUCUCAUGUCAAAGUGGUAGUGCUACCAACAAAGCUGCAACAUUGAAUGUUAUUUAAUAUAAAAUAAGAUGAUCAGGGUAGGAAAACUUUAAAAAGCUAGGGAAGAAAUAUUCAUAUUUUAAGGAAUUAUCUCAGAUUCUAACCAAUAACACGAGGAAAUCCAUGAGAGAUAUUAGUCAGGACAGAAGAUAUCUUAAACCAAGUGCCCAGGAGUCUUGAAUUUAGCAUUCUUUGAAUACAGAUGAUAUAAUUUACCAGUCACUCAGCUGUAACAUUAUGAUGUGACACCAAAAAUGACUGACCAAGUCAAAAUGCAUCUACUAGUGAAUUUAUUUUAAAAAAAUUGUCAUGGAUUCUGCAACACUGUCUGUUGAAGCUGUUCCAUAUUUUACCUUACACUUUUGCAGUCAUAUAAUCAGGCAGUAAAUGUCGGUCGUUAUCUGGUGCCAUAAUGGAAGUAAGACUAGAAUGUGAAUCACGGGGCUAUCCAGAGGAGAGGGAGGAUGUGGUUAACCCACUGACUGCCAAGCCCUGCCAUAGAUGUACCUGCUAGAAAUGACAUGGCCACUUGGGGAAAAUGCUGUUGGAGCGGGAGUCUGCAAAUUACUUCCAAAUAGUCUCAUCUGUAGAUAGCAGUGGGGCCUGAUCUUUCCUUUCACCAUCUGUAAAUCACCCCUGAUGCCAUCUAUUGAACGAAAUGCUCUACUAAGUAAUUAUUAAUGAGCAAAUCUCUUUUGCUGCAGCUAUUUUAACAUAAACACACCGAAUUGGCUCAUAUGUACAGAGGAUUAAAGAUUAGAGGAAAGGAAGUGUACCAAGACUUUGCUGAGUUUUGACUGCCUUCACAAUUAAAGUUGUGAGGGUGUUACUAUUUCAAUGGCUUCUUUGAUGAUCUGGGGAAAGUAAGUGUGGAUCUUUCUUAGGGCUUCAAUUUUAUCAAAUUCAAUGCUGUGUUUGGUCUUGGUUACUGCUGAGCAUUGGUUUUCUAGUUUGGCUCCACUGUUGUGUUCCAGUAUUCCAAUGGAGAUGUGACAGCUGGUUUGACAAAUGUACACUCUUCUCCAGAUGUAGAGGAUCUUCAAAAAAAAAAAAAAACAACUCUUGGUACAAAAAUCCAAGGUUUAUAAAUGUCGCCAUUGAAACUGUAAAUCAUCCCCAUAAUUUCAAGCAUAAAAAUGAAAACAAACUGAGCAAAGUAUGGCCCCACCUCUUUCCCUUCCUACUUGCUUCAUAACUACAUAGCUACUUCCAAUUGGAUACCACUAUGCUCAAAACCCCUACCCAUACAACCAUUCUGAGACCUACAUAUCAUUCCACUUCCUACCUCCACCCUAUUUGCAGUGAAGAGCCUGACUGUUACACAUACUGAAAUAAUAUAACAGCUUCAACAAACAAUGUCCAUGGACCUCAAAAACCAAAAUUACAUACAUGAUUACUCUACACUUCCUUGCUACA